CCGAAAGUUUCCUCCUUUUAUCUUAAGUAAUCCUGUGUUUGUGAGCAUAAAUGACCAAAACCAGCCUAUGAUCACAGGUGAUGCAGUGAUUGGUGAUGGCUAUGGUUUUCUUCCCACUGAACUAAACAUGCUAAAACGGAAAAGAAGACAAGAGGACGUGUCAUCCAUGGCAGUGUGUCAUUCUCCCGCUGAUGGUCCACUUUGCAGAGAAAUAUGAGGGGCUCAUUGUACUGGUUAAUGUCUUCCCAGUGGUGAUGUAGAGCUGAUGUGGAGGCAACAGUGCUGCUUCCUUCGUCCUUCCUUUCUUCAAGACCUGCGUUUUUUGUCUUUUGCCAAACUUUAGGCAGUAUCUUAUACAGUAGAAACUAAGCCUAACACUUGAAGCCCCGUAGGCGUUG